rnacentral:rRNA from 1 species
UACGUAGGUGGCAAGCGUUAUCCGGAAUUAUUGGGCGUAAAGCGCGCGUAGGCGGUUUUUUAAGUCUGAUGUGAAAGCCCACGGCUCAACCGUGGAGGGUCAUUGGAAACUGGAAAACUUGAGUGCGGAAGAGGAAAGUGGAAUUCCAUGUGUAGCGGUGAAAUGCGCAGAGAUAUGGAGGAACACCAGUGGCGAAGGCGACUUUCUGGUCUNGUAACUGACGCUGAUGUGCGAAAGCGUGGGGAUCAAACAGGAUUAGAUAC